rnacentral:rRNA from 1 species
GAUGAACGCUGGCGGCGUGCCUAAUACAUGCAAGUAGAACGCUGAAGCUUGGUGCUUGCACCGAGCGGAUGAGUUGCGAACGGGUGAGUAACGCGUAGGUAACCUGCCUCUUAGCGGGGGAUAACUAUUGGAAACGAUAGCUAAUACCGCAUAAAAGUCAAUAUCGCAUGAUAUUGAUUUGAAAGGUGCAAAUGCAUCACUAAGAGAUGGACCUGCGUUGUAUUAGCUAGUUGGUGAGGUAACGGCUCACCAAGGCGACGAUACAUAGCCGACCUGAGAGGGUGAUCGGCCACACUGGGACUGAGACACGGCCCAGACUCCUACGGGAGGCAGCAGUAGGGAAUCUUCGGCAAUGGGGGCAACCCUGACCGAGCAACGCCGCGUGAGUGAAGAAGGUUUUCGGAUCGUAAAGCUCUGUUGUAAGAGAAGAACGAGUGUGAGAGUGGAAAGUUCACACUGUGACGGUAACUUACCAGAAAGGGACGGUUAACUACGUGCCAGCAGCCGCGGUAAUACGUAGGUCCCGAGCGUUAUCCGGAUUUAUUGGGCGUAAAGCGAGCGCAGGCGGUUAGAUAAGUCUGAAGUUAAAGGCUGUGGCUUAACCAUAGUACGCUUUGGAAACUGUUUAACUUGAGUGCAGAAGGGGAGAGUGGAAUUCCAUGUGUAGCGGUGAAAUGCGUAGAUAUAUGGAGGAACACCGGUGGCGAAAGCGGCUCUCUGGUCUGUAACUGACGCUGAGGCUCGAAAGCGUGGGGAGCAAACAGG